rnacentral:lncRNA from 1 species
CCAAGUUGUGGGUAUUGGAUAUAUAAAUUAAUCAGUGUGUUAAGAAAAUGAGUAUGCAGAAGCUUUAAUAUUUUUCCCUUUAUUUACACAGGAUUCACCAGAAUCAGAUAUUGAACGAGAAAAAGACAAAAAAGAGAGAGAGAAUGAGGACAGAGCUAGACAAAGAUCUGAAUCAAAACAUAAAUCUCCUACUAAAAAAAGACUGGGAAAAGAUUCUGGCAUCCUUACCCAUUUUCUCGCCUUCCUGGGGACUAUGCUGUGGGACUCAUGGCAGAUGUGUGUGGGCCAGCUGAAGGCCAGGGUGGCUGUCUGGCGACAUCCCAGAGGAAGGAGAGUGAAGGCCACACAUGUUU